AUGGCAACGAGGAAAUGAGUGAAGUGAAAGAGAAAGUGCGAUUCACCAGGCUUCAAUGGUCUUGGAAACCCAAAAACAAACCAACCUAACGGUUCAGCUCGAGAAGGACUUGCGAAGAAGCGAACUGGAAGAUUCUUCUUCUUUUGGGGCUGUUACGGCACUAUUGGAAGUAUCCAGUUACAGUAGUCCAGUGGAACAUCUGACUGCAGUUGAAACUUUUGGCAACUUGUCUUUGGAGUUUAUAGUACGACAGUUACAUCGCAACGCCCUGUUGUUUGCUACAAACCGGAAAUAACGCAGAUAAACCGGAAAAUGCGGAAACAGCUGAUCAGGCCUGUCAUUAUCUUAACUGUCAGCGUAGCCAUCAUUUGGUUGUUUUGGGAACGACUGUCUGGUGAUUUCAUAAGCAACAUAUCACAAAUAGUACCAGAGAGAAGGCCAGUCCCAUCGAUGGACAAAAAGCUUGCAAACUUGUCCAAUUGUCCAACUGCCUCCCAGUCUGACUCUGCUCACAUCUUUUCAACUGACCCCACCUUCAUCUCGCCUGCAGAAUUCCAAUCCAUAGAAAAGGCGCUGAAGUGGCCAGCUCCUCCUACCUCUGUGAUUGCAGCCAAUCAGACCACUAGUCCUCAUACAAGCUCAUACGUUUUGCAGAACCCACACAAAAACUACAGUGUUGGGGACAAUAUCACAGUGAUCAUAACAGCAAGAGAUGGUUUAAACAACUCAAAAGCAUACGGCGGAGAUUUCUUCCAAGCAAAGCUGUUUAAUGCAGAACUAAAAGCAAGUGUAUAUGGGGAGGUGGUUGACCACCACAACGGCACUUAUACUGCUACCUUCAAGCUGUCCUGGGAAGGACAAGCCAAAGUCUCAAUAAGGAUGAUACACUCCAGUGAGGCUGUACAGGUGCUACUUAGGCACAGAGAGCGAGAUCCAGACAAGGUGUUCUUCAAGGGCGUGUUCAGAAGGUUCAACAUUGAGGAAAAAGUGGUGUGUAAUGCCCAGAGGAGUGAGAGGUUGCUAAAGAACUCUCAAUGCUGCUGUGAAUACAAAAAUCCAAUUACUGGAGAAUCAUGGAUUUGUCGUAAACCCAGCCGUCUGCCAUGCUCAGCCUGGGUGGACCAUAUCAUAGGAGGCUACCAAGCACAGCUGUCCAAACUGGAGUCCACACUGUUACACAGUGACUACACCAAUAAAUAUCUACCUGGAGAUAUCACAGUGAAUGUGUCUCAUCAUGACCUGAACUCAAGUAGGAGCGUGAAGUGUGUUCCAGGACUAGACGCACCCUCACCAGCUGGGUUCUACCUGAAUGAUAAAUGGACGUCGCUGAUGUGCCAUGCCCAGUCUUUCCCUACAGCCAAUCAGAUUGCAAUAUGCUUGAAAGACAAGCAGGUUCUGAUGAUGGGAGAUUCCACGUUGAGACAGUGGUACGAGUAUCUGCUGAAAACUGUCCCAACACUCAAGCAACUAAACCUGUACACCUCGGCCAAGUCUGGACCGUUUGAGGCAGUGGACACAGGCAACAACAUUCGACUAAUAUGGAGAGCUCAUGGCCUUCCAAUACGGACUUCUCUGACCCCCCGUGCUGACUUACACUACAUUGCCUCCGAGGUGGCCGCUCUAGCUGGAGGUCAACAUUCUGUUGUGGUCUUCACCAUCUGGGCGCACUUCACUACCUUUCCGCUGGCCACGUACCUAAAAAGGCUGGCUGGAAUCCGCAGAGCGAUCCGAGCCCUCCUCCAGAGGGCACCGCAGACCCUUGUGCUGGUCAAGUCAGCCAACACAGGCUACAAGGACAUUUAUGGCAGCGACUGGUUGUCAUGGCAGCUGGACUGUGCAUUGAGGAUGAUGUUUAGGGAGCUGCCGGUUGUGAUUAUUGAUGUUUGGCAAAUGACAUCAUGUCACUACUCACCAGAUGACAUUCACCCAUCUUAUAAAGUGGUACAGAAUGAAGUAGAUCUAUUCCUCUCAUAUGUUUGUCCAAGAUGACAGACGUACAGAUAUGAAGAGCAUUGCUGCUAGAACCACAGGGGUCCACAUCAAAGAAUUGAACUGCAGUCCAGCAAAAAUGGGUCUCAGUCAGCAUCUAAGAGCAUCCUGCUUCAGUUCACUUGAUAGGAACAGAUUUUUAUGAUGAUCCAAACCAAACAAAGUUACAACAGUGGGUCCACUUGUGUACCUUAACACUCAAGCAACUAAACCUGUACACCUCGGCCAAGUCUGGACCGUUUGAGGCAGUGGACACAGGCAACAACAUUCGACUAAUAUGGAGAGCUCAUGGCCUUCCAAUACGGACUUCUCUGACCCCCCGUGCUGACUUACACUACAUUGCCUCCGAGGUGGCCGCUCUAGCUGGAGGUCAACAUUCUGUUGUGGUCUUCACCAUCUGGGCGCACUUCACUACCUUUCCGCUGGCCACGUACCUAAAAAGGCUGGCUGGAAUCCGCAGAGCGAUCCGAGCCCUCCUCCAGAGGGCACCGCAGACCCUUGUGCUGGUCAAGUCAGCCAACACAGGCUACAAGGACAUUUAUGGCAGCGACUGGUUGUCAUGGCAGCUGGACUGUGCAUUGAGGAUGAUGUUUAGGGAGCUGCCGGUUGUGAUUAUUGAUGUUUGGCAAAUGACAUCAUGUCACUACUCACCAGAUGACAUUCACCCAUCUUAUAAAGUGGUACAGAAUGAAGUAGAUCUAUUCCUCUCAUAUGUUUGUCCAAGAUGACAGACGUACAGAUAUGAAGAGCAUUGCUGCUAGAACCACAGGGGUCCACAUCAAAGAAUUGAACUGCAGUCCAGCAAAAAUGGGUCUCAGUCAGCAUCUAAGAGCAUCCUGCUUCAGUUCACUUGAUAGGAACAGAUUUUUAUGAUGAUCCAAACCAAACAAAGUUACAACAGUGGGUCCACUUGUGUACCUUAAGUAUGAAUGUUAAGUGUGUUCCAGGACUAGACACGCCCUCACCAGCUGGAUUCUAUCUUCAUGAUAAAUGGACGUCACUGAUGUGCCAUGCCCAGUCCUUUGACACAGCCAAUCAGACUGCAACAUGCUUGAAAGAGAAGCAGGUUCUGAUGAUGGGAGAUUCCACAUUGAGACAGUGGUAUGAGUACCUGCUGAAAACAGUCCCAAGACUUACACUACAUCACCUCAGAGCUGGAUGCUCUAGCUGGAGGUCAACAUUCUGUUGUGAUGUUCACCAUCUGGGCGCACUUCACUACCUUUCCGCUGGCUACGUACCUAAAAAGCCUGGCUGGAAUCCGCAGAGCUGUCCUGGCCCUCCUUCAGAGGGCACCGCAGACCCUUGUGCUGAUCAAAUCAGCUAACACAGGCUACAAGGACAUUUACAGCAGCGACUGGUUGUCAUGGCAGCUGGACUGUGCAUUGAGGGUGAUGUUUAGGGAGCUGCCUGUCGUGAUUAUUGACGUUUGGCAAAUGACGUCAUGCCACUACUCACCAGACAGCAUUCACCCAUCUCAUGAAGUGAUAAAGAAUGAAGUAGAUCUAUUCCUCUCAUUUAUUUGUCCAAGUUGACAGACUUACAGAUAAGAAGACAGUAAAAUCUGUAUCGUUACAAAGUAUUUGCCUCCUUCCUGAU